UACGUAGGGGGCAAGCGUUGUCCGGAAUCAUUGGGCGUAAAGCGCGCGUAGGCGGCCCGGUAAGUCCGCUGUGAAAGUCGGGGGCUCAACCCUCGAAUGCCGGUGGAUACUGUCGGGCUAGAGUGCGGGAGAGGCGAGUGGAAUUCCUGGUGUAGCGGUGAAAUGCGCAGAUAUCAGGAGGAACACCAGUUGCGAAGGCAGCUCGCUGGAACGUAACUGACGCUGAGACGCGAAAGCGUGGGGAGCAAACAGG
rnacentral:rRNA from 1 species